GGAGGCUGCGCACCCGGAUGAAGAGGUGUCCAUGUUCACGGCUUGGGCUGCGUCUCACCAGACUGCAGGCCAACGGACCUGGGACGCAGCUGCCCCUCGCGAGGCGUACUCCGACCCCCAACGUGUACGAUAAGGUCCAGGAGUACACGUCGGCGGUACGGGCCAGAGUACGACAUCCGCACCGAGCCACUAGAUGCUGAGGCCGUCAUGUGGCUCGGUGGCGGUAGGAAGCACGGCCGGGCCUGGAUCGCAAACGCCACCAUCGACCUCAACACCACCCCCACUCUCAGCCAGCGCUCAGAGCACAGAGCACGAGCUCCAGACAGCCCAUCCGCGCACGGCCGACUCCGACAGCCGACCACGCCCAGAAGACGGAGUAGAUCACGGCCCUCACUGCUCGGCUGGAGGCUGAGCGUCUCGCGCAAGAGGCCCAAGACAAGAGGAUGGCUGAGAUGAUGAGGGUUCUGGCUGGCAGCAUACAGGUGUGGACGUCACGAUGUCAGCUCUAGCGCCUCAGCUGCCGCCGCCGUUUAGUUCUACUCCUCAGUCGACAGCGGGAUCCAAUAACCCGCCUCGUAUGUCACCGGAUCCUGGAGCCUUCGACACACCACCCUCGACGCAGAGGUAGGACGGUUGGGGAGGAUGGUGUGUUCUCGCAGCCCUACGGUGCGUAUAUGUCGGUUGUUUGGAACUUUGGUUCGAUUUGGUGAACUUGUGGACUACUGGAUGUACAUACAUUAUGUUCGUGAUAUAUAUAUGUGA